CCUACGGGUGGCAGCAGUGGGGAAUAUUGCACAAUGGGGGAAACCCUGAUGCAGCAACGCCGCGUGAAGGAAGACGGUUUUCGGAUUGUAAACUUCUGUUCUUAGUGAAGAAUAAUGACGGUAGCUAAGGAGCAAGCCACGGCUAACUACGUGCCAGCAGCCGCGGUAAUACGUAGGGGGCAAGCGUUAUCCGGAUUUACUGGGUGUAAAGGGAGCGUAGACGGCCAGACAAGUCAGAAGUGAAAGCCCAGGGCUCAACCCUGGGACUGCUUUUGAAACUGCCGGGCUGGAGUGCAGGAGAGGUAAGCGGAAUUCCUAGUGUAGCGGUGAAAUGCGUAGAUAUUAGGAGGAACACCAGUGGCGAAGGCGGCUUACUGGACUGUAACUGACGUUGAGGCUCGAAAGCGUGGGGAGCAAACAGGAUUAGAUACCCCUGUAGUC
rnacentral:rRNA from 1 species